UAAGUUAGUGGCGGACGGGUGAGUAACGCGUGGGUAACCUGCCUCAUACAGGGGGAUAACAGUUGGAAACGGCUGCUAAUACCGCAUAAGCGCACAGUACCGCAUGGUACGGUGUGAAAAACUCCGGUGGUAUGAGAUGGACCCGCGUCUGAUUAGGUAGUUGGUGGGGUAACGGCCUACCAAGCCGACGAUCAGUAGCCGACCUGAGAGGGUGACCGGCCACAUUGGGACUGAGACACGGCCCAA
rnacentral:rRNA from 1 species